rnacentral:rRNA from 1 species
AUGCCCUAGUAACGGCGAGUGAAGCGGCAACAGCUCAAAUUUGAAAUCUGGCCCUCGGGUCCGAGUUGUAAUUUGUAGAGGAUGAUUUUGGUUAGGUACCUUCCGAGUUCCUUGGAACAGGACGCCUUAGAGGGUGAGAGCCCCGUACGGUUGGAUGCCGAGCCUCUGUAAAUCUCCUUCGACGAGUCGAGUAGUUUGGGAAUGCUGCUCUAAAUGGGAGGUAAAUUUCUUCUAAAGCUAAAUACCGGCCAGAGACCGAUAGCGCACAAGUAGAGUGAUCGAAAGAUGAAAAGCACUUUGAAAAGAGGGUUAAAUAGUACGUGAAAUUGUUGAAAGGGAAGGGCUUGUGACCAGACCUUUGCCUUGCGGAUCAUCCGGUGUUCUCACCGGUGCACUCCGCUUGGUUGAGGCCAGCAUCAGUUUCGGCGGCGGGAUAAAGACUUCAGGAACGUGACUCCCCCGGGAGUGUUAUAGCCUGCUGUGUAAUACCGCCGCUGGGACUGAGGACCGCGCUUCGGCUAGGAUGCUGGCAUAAUGGUCAUCAGCCACCCGUCUUGAAACACGGACCAAGGAGUCGAACAUUUAUGCGAGUUUUUGGGUGUUAAACCCUCAAGCGUAAUGAAAGUGAACGGAGGUGAGAGCCCUUACGGGUGCAUCAUCGACCGAUCCUGAUGUCUUCGGAUGGAUUUGAGUAAGAGCAUAACUGUUCGGACCCGAAAGAUGGUGAACUAUGCGUGGAUAGGGUGAAGCCAGAGGAAACUCUGGUGGAGGCUCGCAGCGGUUCUGACGUGCAAAUCGAUCGUCAAAUCUGCGCAUGGGGCGAAAGACUAUCGA